rnacentral:rRNA from 1 species
UACGAAGGGGGCUAGCGUUGCUCGGAAUCACUGGGCGUAAAGCGCACGUAGGCGGCUUGCUAAGUCAGGGGUGAAAUCCUGGAGCUCAACUCCAGAACUGCCCUUGAUACUGGCGGGCUUGAGUCCGGGAGAGGUGAGUGGAACUGCGAGUGUAGAGGUGAAAUUCGUAGAUAUUCGCAAGAACACCAGUGGCGAAGGCGGCUCACUGGCCCGGUACUGACGCUGAGGUGCGAAAGCGUGGGGAGCGAACGGG